CAGGCUAAGCAGUUUCAGACCAUGUUGGUGCCUGGAUGAAAGAUGUUCCCUCUGAGUCAGCAGCAUGCUGUUCCAGCAUUUUGCAAGGGGUUUUCUCCUAUUGGCAAAGCCAGAUAUGGUCAUAAAUUAUCCAAGUUUUUAAAGGGACAACACUUUGGUCCACAAUGGAAAUUUCUUUCCAGACCACCUUGUGUAAUCAGGAGCUUGCAUCCAUCUUAUCCUCUUGAUUGAUGGACAUAAGUCUGAACAUGAGAAGAGAUGAGCCCUUGGAUGGUGAAGGUGGAGAGAUGGGGAGUGAGGGAAUUUUGGAUGGCAGUGACUGAAGCUUGGAUAUCUCCCUGCGAGAGCCAAUCUCCUCUGACAAGCCUGAUUAAAGAAGAAAUGGUUUUGGAAGCAUGAGGUCAGUGACUCUGACCAAGCUGCUACUUCAUUUAGAGAGCCAGCUCAUCUGUGUGUUGUGCUGAGGCUCUCGUAACAGUAGAGAGCUGUUAACAAGAGAUGCUUAAUUGUCUCUAGCUGACAGGGAGCUGCCAAGACACUUGGCAGCUCAGAAAGCCUUUCUGCACUCCCAGAAAGACAGGUCUUUGCAGAUGCUGAGGUUUCAAAAGGAGCAGUUGUUCCCAGCAGUCAACAGACUUGAUUUUCAAUUUGUGCUUCUUUUGAACGCAGCAGACCAUCUGCCUCACAUAUAGACCAGGUCCACAAAUGACUAAAUCAGAAUUAAUACUUGGGGUCACUCAAAUCUCUGACAGCUCUGAAUUGUUUAGGCUUAGGUAAAUGAAAGAGGGAAAAAUAAACAUUAUCAGUAAAGACGUCCUUUGGCACUGACAGCAACUUCUGAGUUGAGGGGAGUCCACCUUCAGCAGAAGAACCUACGUUGCCCGUAUGCAAAGAUGAGUGCAAGGCUUUCUCUGCAGUCGAGCACUGUACCCUAAUUACUGAACUGGCAUUUUCUUAUUUUAUUUUAUUUUAUUUUAUUUUGGGGUGUAGAGAAUCGCC